rnacentral:misc_RNA from 1 species
AACAGCCAGCUAUACAACAGUGUUACACUACUACAAUCCGAUGCACAAACAUUAAAAAUGAGCCACAGGGAAACAGUACAGAAGAUAAAACUUCUGUUUCUUAUUUCAUAACUAUUUGUCUAAAUACACCUAGCUAGCUAGCUAGAUUCAGUUGGUUGGUGGACGCUUAUGAGGUGGCUUCUCUUUCUUUCCUUUGCGUGAGUCCUCAACUACUUCUUCCUCAGCCAGAAGAUGUCCGUGUGGUGGCUUCUCUUCCUUUCCUUUGCGUGAAUCCUCAACUACUUCUUUCUCAGCCAGAAGAUGUCC